rnacentral:tRNA from 1 species
ACCUGGCUGGCUCAGUCAGUGGAGCAUGCAACUCUUGAUCUCAGGGUCAUGAGUUCGAGCCCCAUGUUGGGUA